rnacentral:ncRNA from 1 species
CUCUAAUACUAUUUCAGAUUAUAUAUUUUAAGGAAUAUAUACAGUAAAGUAUUAGUAAUAAAGAGAUUUAUUCCUUCCUUAAAACAAAACUAAACAUGCAUAAAGAAAAGGUAAAAAUGGAUCAAAAAUAUAUGUAUUAGUAAGAAAAUAUUUUGAAUAUACGU